UACGGAGGGAGCUAGCGUUGUUCGGAAUUACUGGGCGUAAAGCGCACGUAGGCGGCUUUGUAAGUUAGAGGUGAAAGCCUGGAGCUCAACUCCAGAACUGCCUUUAAAACUGCAUCGCUUGAAUCCAGGAGAGGUGAGUGGAAUUCCGAGUGUAGAGGUGAAAUUCGUAGAUAUUGGGAAGAACACCAGUGGCGAAGGCGGCUAUCUGGACGGUUACUGACGCUAAGACUCGAAAGCGUGGGGAGCAAACAGG
rnacentral:rRNA from 1 species